CAGCAGCCACGGUAAUACGUAGGGGGCGAGCGUUGUCCGAAGUUACUGGGCGUAAAGAGCGCGUAGGCUGGUCUUUAAGUGAGUGGUGAAAGGUUCGGGCUCAACCCGGACACUGCCUUUCAUACUGGGGACCUUGAGUGUGGGAGAGGCGAGUGGAAUGGUCGGUGUAGCGGUGAAAUGCGUAGAUAUCGAUCGGAACACCUAUGGCGAAGGCAGCUCGCUGGCCUAACACUGACGCUGAGGCGCGAAAGCGUGGGGAGCAAACAGGAUUAGAUACCCGCGUAGUCCCUGUCUCUUAUAC
rnacentral:rRNA from 1 species